UCCAGCAUGGCAUAGUGGUUUGAACAUUGGACUACAACUCUGGAGACCAGGGUUCGAAUCCCCUUUGCUUGGC